AUUGAACGCUGGCGGCGUGCCUAAUACAUGCAAGUCGAACGGAGUGGCGCACGGGUGAGUAAUGUAUAGCUAAUCUUCCCUACACUAGAGGACAACAUUUGGAAACGACUGCUAAUACUCUAUAGUGUAGGAUGAGGCGAUAUUGUAUCAUCGAGUUUGUGAGGUAAUGGCUCACCAAGAGUAUGACGCAUAACUGGUCUGAGAGGGUGAUCAGUCACACUGGACCGGAGGCACGGUCCAGACUCCUACGGAAGGCAGCAGUAGGGAAUAUUGCUCAAUGGGGGAGACCGUGAAGCAGCAACGCCGCGUGGAGGAUGACAAUUUUCGGAGCGUAAGCUCCUUUUGUUAGGGAAGCGGUACCUAACGAAUAAGCACCGGCUAACUCCGUGCCAGCAGCCGCGGUAAUAC
rnacentral:rRNA from 1 species